AUUGCUUUUGCCCAAGGACCUGGGUGCACCUGGUGGGUGAUGCAGGACAAUGGAGAGGUCUGAUGCGUACCACAGGGGGUCUUGAUUUUGAGUAAGAACAUACCGUGAAUUAUACUGUGCCUUUGUUAAUCUUUUCUUCAUUGUUAAUGCU